rnacentral:rRNA from 1 species
UACGUAGGGGGCGAGCGUUGUCCGGAUUCAUUGGGCGUAAAGAGCUCGUAGGCGGCUUGGCAAGUCGGGUGUGAAACCUCCAGGCUCAACCUGGAGACGCCACCCGAUACUGCCAUGGCUAGAGUCCGGUAGGGGACCACGGAAUUCCUGGUGUAGCGGUGAAAUGCGCAGAUAUCAGGAGGAACACCGGUGGCGAAGGCGGUGGUCUGGGCCGGCACUGACGCUGAGGAGCGAAAGCGUGGGGAGCAAACAGG